rnacentral:lncRNA from 1 species
AGGAAAUUUUAGUAAACUGGUUCCACCUCACAGGAUGAAGGACAUUCGGCCAGCAGCUGCAGGAUUUCCUGACUGCACUUGGCUGAACAUUUGGCUUCAGCUGAUAGAAGCAAGUAGACCUAUGUUCUGGCCAAAAUGACAGAGAUAAACUGUCCCUCUCUCUCUCUCUUUCUGAAUUCUUCCAGAAGAAGUGAAUUUGGCUCAAUCAGCAGGUCUGGGUGCAUGAACUUGCAAUAGGCGGGGGAAGGCAGACAUGUGUUGCAUAUGGGGUGCUCACAGCUCCUGAGCACUUGGCAACCCCACUGGGGCCCACCUUGCUCCUCCCCUCUGUUCACACUGACCUCACCAACUUCUCAACUCAUCGUUUCAAGUCGUCGCUGUCAACUGAUCAGAGUGGACACACAAGCUGAUGUUUCGUUUUCUGCUGUGUUCUUUUAAUAGGUGCUGAGUGAAAACGAAUGAAUGAACUGUCUACUUCGAUUACCCACAGGAUCCAUCCUGAUGACAAAUUUGACUUCAGCCUCAGGCAACUAAGGUUUUGCUUCAACCUGAAGAACCCAACCUUCCCUCAGGGAAGGGAAGGAAUCUGUCUUAUGGACAUAAAGGGGAAACAGAGGGAUAAUUUAUGGCAGAAGAAUUGUCAGAGCCUGGCUCCACUAAACAGACUCUCCUCUGCCUCUCCACCUCAUUCACCUUGCCUUUUCCCAUGAAUAUGUUUUGUAUCUUGCAACCUGGAAAAUAAACACACAAUGCAUGUAUUAGAUAUAUUUUUC